GAGUUUGAUCAUGGCUCAGAUUGAACGCUGGCGGCAUGCCUUACACAUGCAAGUCGAACGGCAGCACGGGAGCAAUCCUGGUGGCGAGUGGCGAACGGGUGAGUAAUACAUCGGAACGUGCCCAGUAGUGGGGGAUAACUACUCGAAAGAGUAGCUAAUACCGCAUACGACCUGAGGGUGAAAGCGGGGGAUCGCAAGACCUCGCGCUAUUGGAGCGGCCGAUGUCAGAUUAGCUAGUUGGUGGGGUAAAGGCCUACCAAGGCAACGAUCUGUAGUUGGUCUUGAGAGGACGACCAGCCACACUGGGACUGAGACACGGCCCAGACUCCUACGGGAGGCAGCAGUGGGGAAUUUUGGACAAUGGGCGCAAGCCUGAUCCAGCAAUGCCGCGUGCAGGAAG
rnacentral:rRNA from 1 species